ACAACCAUUGAUGGUGUGAACUGGAAAUCUGAAAAAUCCCAGAAGAUUUAUCUAGGAAACAAAAAUGGUUACAAUGAUGCGGCUAUAGAAAAGUUUUCUGGUGGCCUUAAAUCCAAAGCUUUGCGAAUUGUUCCAUUGAAAUUUGUUGGUGCACCGUGUUUACGAAUUGAAAUUUGUGGUGGAGACUUACUCCCAGACAAACCAACAGAUCUCAUUGCAACCAAAUCUGCAUCGACAUACCUUGAGAUUUCAUGGAAACAUCCCAAAAAAACUGGUGUAAAACUUGGUACAAAUAUCUCGAGUCCUCUUACAAGAUAUCUAUUGAUUUUGCUGAAGGAUACUAUGAUUGUUUUUGAUAAAACUUUGGAGUUCCCGAAGGUCCACC